GGUAAAAUGGCUGAGGUUAUAAGUAGUAGAUUGUAAAUCUAUUAAGGAGAUUUAUUCUCUUUUACCA
rnacentral:tRNA from 1 species